CGUAAGAGACCACUGUUGGCGGAAACUUUGCCGGAACAGUGUUCCGAGCAGAGAGAGAGAGAGGGGUACUUACCUGUAGGUUCCGGCGACUCGGAGGUGGUGCCGAUGGUGUUAACCAGAGAGAUGGAUGGAAGUUGAAGUCGAAGAGAGAGAGAGUGCGUGGGUGGUCAGCGGCGGCGCGUGAGGCAGAUUCCGGCGACGAAAUUUGCAGGGGGUGUGCGCCUGACGUUGUGUGUCUCGGUGGUGUAGGAGGUGUCGAAGAAAGACCGCCGUGAGAGACCACUGUUGGCGAAAACUUUGCCGGAACAGUGUUCCGAGCAGAGAGAGAGAGAGGGGUACUUACCUGUAGGUUCCGGCGACUCGGAGGUGGUGCCGAUAGUGUUAACCAGAGAGAUGGAUGGAAAUUGAAG
rnacentral:lncRNA from 1 species